rnacentral:lncRNA from 1 species
GAACAAUCUGUCCCGCCGUCUUUCUCUCUCUUCACAGUCUGCUGCUUUAUAUAUAUGCACAACAAAACGCAGAAAAUAACAGUAGCAGAGUAACAAUUCUAUAUUAGCUGUAGAAUUUACUUCAGUUCAGUGUUGACUGUAAAAAUGUCGUCGUCGGCGGUAAAAGGAUCGCAUGGCGCCGGCGGUCGGUGUAAACUGACGCCGCACCUGGAUAAGAGAGUAACCAAAAAGCUCAACCUCACGGUGCUGCAGAGAAUGGACCCAUUCAUCAUUCAUCAGCGAGAUUCUCAUGACCGUUUCUUUCGUCACCUUCUACUCGUUCGACGUCGAUGCCACCCAAUGGGUAUCCACAUUUUUUUCCCUUCUUCCUGUUAUUGUUACUACUAAUGCUGUGUUAAAGUCUUCAAGAACUCGCUUGACGGCGUGAUUUUGAAAAUCCGACUAUCUUUUUCCGAUUCAAUAGUCAUCUUUAUUUUUAUUUUAUUUAUUUUUUUCCAUUACGUUUGGGCGUUGGAAAACUUGAGUCGUGAAUAAAGUGAAUGGAGAUAUAAUCUGUGUUAGAAGUAUUUGGUCUGAGGAUUGUUGAAUUAGUUUCUAAUUUUUGGUGUUCAAAUUUGCUUGCAGAGCCGCAAGGAUGUUGAAG